GGAUUAGAUACCCUGGUAGUCCAUGCUGUAAACGAUGAGUACUAGCUGUUGGAUCUGGUGUAAAAGAUUUAGUGGCGCAGCUAACGCAUUAAGUACUCCGCCUGGGGAUUACGGCCGCAAGGCUAAAACUCAAAGGAAUUGACGGGGACCCGCACAAGCGGUGGAGCAUGUGGUUUAAUUCGAUGCAACGCGAAGAACCUUACCUACCCUUGACAUACCAAGAACUUUCUAGAGAUAGAUUGGUGCCUUCGGGAACUUGGAUACAGGUGCUGCAUGGCUGUCGUCAGCUCGUGCCG
rnacentral:rRNA from 1 species